rnacentral:rRNA from 1 species
UACGAGGGGUGCAAGCGUUGCUCGGAAUUAUUGGGCGUAAAGGGUAGGUAGGUGGUCUCAUUUGUCUGAGGUGAAAGCCUUGAGCUUAACUCAAGAAGUGCCUUAGAAACGGUGAGACUGGAGUCCUGGAGAGGGUCGUGGAAUUCCCGGUGUAGCGGUGAAAUGCGUAGAGAUCGGGAGGAACACCAGCGGCGAAGGCGGCGACCUGGACAGGUACUGACACUCAACUACGAAAGCGUGGGCAGCAAACAGG